rnacentral:lncRNA from 1 species
AGCAAGCAUUGGAUGAAUCUUCCUCUGGACUUGUUGGCAAAUUGAGUCAUUAUCCGUGGAAGAGGAAAAAGGAAGAGACAGUAGAGAAGAAUGUGAGAAAGUUUAUUUACGUUAGUUGAAUGUGGAAGCUGAGAAGAAUGUGAAACACUUCCCUUGAAAUCCAUACCUGUCAUAGAGUUGAUCCUUCGUACUCUUUACUUUCGUCCCUUGCUCAUGCUGAUGUACCUUACAGAAUAUGUUGAACUGAAUCCUGUCGUGCACCCUGUUGAAAUUUUACUAUGAACUUAGUACAUCUUGUUUUGAAAAUACCAAACUCAAUACCUUCCUUCAGCUCACUGCACUUCUCUAUAUUUAUUGAGACUGUUUUACUGAUUUGUUGACAUCAAAAGCUCUUCCAUUAAACGUAAAUUUGCUCCUAAUUGUCCAUAGAAACCGGAUUGUAGAAUAAGGUAGAAUACAUCACAUCUUAUGUUCAAGUUACCUGUUAAAAACAACAAACAUACAGCAAGUAAAACCUAAUCCUCCAAAAGCUUGACAUAAUAUAAAUCAAUUGGUUUUCUCAACAACUUAUCUGCAUGCAAGGUAAAUAGAGUGACACUAUUUAUUCACAAUAGCACACUCUAACUUGUAUAAACUUGCACAAUUUUUUUUGCUUAAAAAAACACAUUCUGUACUCUCUUUAUAUGGUGAGGUAAACAAAGCAAACUUACAAUUUAAACAAUAAAAAUUUCAAAUCAAUCACAUUUUUUCUUCAAGGGGGGUGGGGGGGGGGGGGAUCGAUGACAAUCAAAUCCCAUAAGCAACAACAUAAAUGAAUGAAACUAAGUUGAAUACUCCGCACUAACCCAAACUUAAUCAGAACAUCAUGAUUAGAAGCAUAAUCAAUUUCCACUACCACCAAUUGGCUAUCUGUCAAUUUUAAAGCACCUUGAAAAGGCAUGCUUAUAACAAUGAUAAAUUUGGAUAAAAGACAGAAAUUUGAAUAUCUAAGAUUUUGAAAAUGUUACCAAGAAGCGAAAACUAAAUCCUGGCAAUCCUUACUAAUAUUAAUAAGUACAAAUACCAAUUCUCAAGCUAAAAACGCCAAAUUCAUGCUUUAGAAAUUAGCAUUCAAUAGAUAAUCUAUAUUCCAUGAUCAACCUAAAUAAAGCGUAUUUUUAAAUCAAUAAUGGCCAACACAAAUUUGGAAAAUGUUCAAUGUUAAGAAUUGGAAAGGUGAGAUGACAUUAAGGUUAGUCUUAAAGAAAAAAAUUAGUCAUUACAAACCUGUUUCUUCUUUAAAUCUGCAUCAUCCAUGAAGGUUUGUUUGUUUUUUUUUUUUUUAUUAGAAGGAUCAUCCAUGGAAGUUAAAAAACCCUUACAGCUCCAAAUGUGACCUGCAACUUGUAAGCAAGUUUUGAAAAUAAAAAUCUCUCCAUAGGAAAAGAAUAAAAAGAAAAAAAAAUCAACUCCAAAAUAUAAUACCAAUCCCCUAAGAACAGAAACAGCAAACCGAGAUCUAGUUAGAUCUUCUUAGUUGUCACUUCUUCAUCCAGGUCCCCAUCCUCACCUGCAUCAAAGCUGAAUUGAUUUUGAUAAACUAAAAAAAACUAAAAAAACUAAAAUCAAAAGUUUCAAUGAACUAAGGCGAAUUUUAGGAAAAAUUAUUUCAAUCCAAUUUCUAAACAAUUCAACUUACCUGAGAGCUUCAAUUGAUUGAAAAUCUCUGUAACCAUUUGUAACCAAAAUGUCACACAACAACGAUUUAUUUUCAAUUGAUAGAGAACCUGCAAAAUUUAUCUUUUCUUAAACAAAACUUCUAGAAGUUAACAAACACAACACAAAAUGUACUAUAAAUUGAAGAGAUAGAUAGAAAGAAAACAUAGGAGAUGAAGGAUUGAGGAACAUAUAUUUGAUUCUAUUCUAGUCGGUUUCUUUGUGCGAUUGACUUUGCAUAAGCAUAAGGAAUACAAUUUUUGUGAUUGUGGAUGCUGAAUGCUGGAUACUUAAUGCUGGAUGCUGAACACUGAAUGCUGGAAAAGUUGUUUGGUUAUCAUUUUUAAGAAGUUCUGUUUUUGAUUUGUUUGUUUAUGCGUAAGUGUGAUUUUGACCAUGUUACCCUAUUAUUGGAAAAGUAUUUUGACAAUACACAGUACCUUAUCACAUAACCCAAAAACCUAAAGUUGAUUUGUACUCUGGUUGCGCAAGUUGACCAUUCAGUGUUGUGCUUCAGAUGAGAAUGUUUCACCCUUAGCCAAAAUAUUUGUGUAACUACACUAUAUUGUUACGUCAUACAAACAGAAAAAUUUUCUAACAACAAAACUAUACACGCCAAUUUUUCUUCUAAAACAUGAUAUUUAAAAAAAAAAUCUUAACCUUUUAAACGGCUCGUCUAAAAAUUCUAAAUUUUGGAUAUGGUACAACAGAAAUCGUCAUGAACAUAUGGAAAAUAUUUCAAAGUGAACAGACAAAGGAAAGAUCCCUUACUAAGCAAACGAAUCUGACUGUAAUUUUUCUUCUAAAACAUGACAAUCACAAAAAAAUCUGUAACUUUCAAACGACUCGUUUAAAAAUUCCAAAUUUUGGAUAUGAUACAAUAGAAAUCGUCAGGAACAUAUAGUAAAACUUUUAAAGUGAUCAGACAAAAGAAAGUCUCCUUAUUAAGCAAACGAAUCUGACUGUAACAUAAUUUUUCUUGUAAAACAUAACAACCACAAAAAAAUCUGUAACUUUCAAACCGAUCGUCUAAAAAUUCUAAAUUUUAGAUAUGAUAUAACAGAAAUCUUCAGGAACUUAUGGUAAGAAUUUCAAAGUGAUCAGACAAAGGAAAGGCCAUUAACGAAGCCAAUGAAUCUGACUGUGAUAUUACUUAAUGGUUAUGGAUGAUAAAAACAAUUUUUAUAAGGGUAGAAUUGUCUAAAUAAUACAACAAGCAUUAAGAAGUUAAAUUAAAGCUGGGCCAAAAUCGCUGAAAUAUCCCAAUUAGUUCUUAAUGCUUGUUCUAAAGAAACAACUUAAAAAACACUUAUUUCUAAAUUUUAACAUGGUCCACCACUUAAGAAGCACUUAAUGCUUAAUGAAACAAACACUACCUCAGUUUGAUGACUUUGAACAACUGUUGUCGCUGAAUCUGAGUAACAAAAUUAUGCUGUCGAAGGUGGAAAAACUGAAAUUAAAAGUCAAACCUAGUGAAAUAUUCCUGCAAGAGUAAUAAAAUUAAAUAUUAAAAUUCUAAACGUUCAUCCCCAAAUCAGUCAGGAACACAACUAAAUAAGAAGCCUUAACAAAAACCAAACGGGAAAACACAAACCUGAUCAAUCGAAGAACCCAUCUACAUGAUGAUCUUUAAUUGAUUAUUGAUUAAGUAGUAAUUCCAAAACCAGUUGGGGAGAAGAAUAGAACGAAAUAUCCAAAUUGAAAGAACUUUCACUAUUAUUAUUAUUAUUAUUCAUUUUGAAACAAAACCCAAUUAAAUGAAGCUAUAAAUCUUCACAUACCUAAAAACUUCCAUGCGCCAAACCAGAGAAACAAAUAACGUUCGGUCUCUGUAAAUUUAGAGAUGAGUCGGUUGGGGAGAGAGACACGUGUAAGAAUUUUAGGUCGUUUGAGUUUGACUGUUCUUCUGUUUUGCAGAAUGACUGUGUUAAAGCAGAAAACUACAUUGCAAGAAAAGG